UUGUAUCGAUGAGGCACGUUGCAAUGUCCGUGGAGUUCUUUGAAUUCGAGCAGGCUUUGAAAAUG
rnacentral:rRNA from 13 species